GACGAACGCUGGCGGCGUGCUUAACACAUGCAAGUCGAACGGAAAGGCCCUGCUUUUGUGGGGUGCUCGAGUGGCGAACGGGUGAGUAACACGUGAGUAACCUGCCCUUGACUUUGGGAUAACUUCAGGAAACUGGGGCUAAUACCGGAUAGGAGCUCCUGCUGCAUGGUGGGGGUUGGAAAGUUUCGGCGGUUGGGGAUUGACUCGCGGCUUACCAGCUUGUUGGUGGGGUAGUGGCUUACCAAGGCUUUGACGGGUAGCCGGCCUGAGAGGGUGACCGGCCACAUUGGGACUGAGAUACGGCCCAGACUCCUACGGGAGGCAGCAGUGGGGAAUAUUGCACAAUGGGCGGAAGCCUGAUGCAGCAACGCCGCGUGCGGGAUGACGGCCUUCGGGUUGUAAACCGCUUUCGCCUGUGACGAAGCGUGAGUGACGGUAAUGGGUAAAGAAGCACCGGCUAACUACGUG
rnacentral:rRNA from 1 species